GACUAGAGGACCCAGAGGGCAUCCGGAGGGAAGCAGGCUGGUGCGCAGCUUGACCCACAUUUGUCCCUCCUACUGUGAUAUAUUCCACAUCUCUGCCACUAUCUGUGAGUUAUCUUUUCAAAUGUCCACCUACUCAGACCUCAGCAAGCAACAAGCAGAAAGAGCUCACCAGCUGGUACGAAUUUGUGUGAGCUACAUUUUACAUCAGUUUGUGGUCCAAAAUGGGCAUUUUUAACUUUGGAAACCUUUAGCUAAAAAAACUGUGUUUCGACACCUGCUGGAACAAUAGCAAGCUCAGAUACAACGUACAGCAGAUGCAGGCAGAGCAUUCACUGGCUUGGCAGGAGCCUCCAUACUUCUCCAGGCAUUCUGGGCUGCUUUUCUCCUACUUCAAUGUUGGAUAUUAAAAGUAAGGUCAUUCUCUUUCACAGCUUCAGACAAACAGGUUUACAGCAAUUUAUAACAGCUUUAGUACCUGUGAGAUGAAAAGAUUAUAGGUAGUAACGUAUACAAGUAAUUCCAUGUAUUCCUAUGUGCUCUGUAAGUGACAUAGA